AGACCAGAUGCUGCUGUCCUCGACCCCGUUUUGGGGCUGGAACAGGGAAUUCCUGCAGCGCCACUGAGGCAGAGAGGACACUAUGGUGCAGGAGUUCCUCUCCAGGCUCUCCAACAAGGACCUGCUGACCACAGCACUGAAUGCACCCCCCCUCAACCUCUUUGCUGCCCUGUGAGUCCUUCAUUAGGGCCUUAAUGAAGCCCUGCCUUAAUUACAGCCCUAACACCCUCCCAUUCAAAUAGGGGUCCUAAUGAUGCCCCCAGUAAUUAAGUGGGGCCCUAAUGAGGCCCCUGUAAUGAACUGGGGGGGGCUCUAAUGGAGUGGGGGGUUCUCAGGAUAUUCCUGCUAAUGAAUUAGGGAGCUUUAAUUAAGCAGGGAGCUGUCAUGAUACCCCAUUAUUAAAGUAGGGAGGCCUAAUGAAGUUCCCACUAACGAAGCAGGGAGCCCUAAUGAAGUUCCCAAUAAUGAACCCUGACCCUAAUGCUGCACCCCAAUCAAGUAGGGGCUCUAAUCAAGCCAUUAAUGAGACCUCUGCUAAUGAACUGGGGGCUCUAAUGAAGUGGGGAAACCUAAGAUGCCCCUGGGCCUUAAUUAACCCCAAAGGUGAUUUCAUCCCAAGUUUAGACCUUUUUUUUUGCUUUUGGCCCCAAAUUGGCUGUUUUGGUUUUUAAAUCCCCAAAAUGCAAAGGGGGGGGGAGGGAGUUGCCCCAAAAAUCCUGGAGGAGGGGGCUGAGCCCCCCAAAAACUGCAGGGGGAUUGUCUUGACCCUGCAGAUUUGGGGUGACACCCCUGGAAUUGGGGCUGUGCCACCCUCAGUGCCCUUCCUUUGGUUUUUGCACCACCACUUUUGGGGUUUUUGAACCCAGCCCCCAUUUUUGCUCCCCAGUGUCUCUUUCCUGCCGUCCCAGCCGUGGUUUGGGGUGAUAUCUGCUCAGCUUUUUUACCAUU